rnacentral:rRNA from 1 species
AACGAACGCUGGCGGCAGGCCUAACACAUGCAAGUCGAGCGAGGACUUCGGUCCUAGCGGCGGACGGGUGAGUAACGCGUGGGAACGUGCCCUUUGCUUCGGAAUAGCCCUGGGAAACUGGGAGUAAUACCGGAUGAGCCCUUUGGGGGAAAGAUUUAUCGGCGAAGGAUCGGCCCGCGUUGGAUUAGGUAGUUGGUGGGGUAAUGGCCUACCAAGCCGACGAUCCAUAGCUGGUUUGAGAGGAUGAUCAGCCACACUGGGACUGAGACACGGCCCAGACUCCUACGGGAGGCAGCAGUGGGGAAUCUUAGACAAUGGGGGAAACCCUGAUCUAGCCAUGCCGCGUGAGCGAUGAAGGCCUUAGGGUUGUAAAGCUCUUUCAGCGGAAGAUAAUGACGGUACCAGCAGAAGAAGCCCCGGCUAACUCCGUG